GCCGUAGGCUUCUUCACUGUGAAGCAAACACAAGUUUUUGACAGAAGAGAAGAACACAUACACUCAAGAUCUCGAUGCAAUUCUCACACGAAUAAGAAAAAAAACACAAACAAACACAGAACCGAGAAACAACAAGAGAUCCGCCGGAAAAAAACCAAACGGUAAGGAAAAGGCGUACUUAUCGCCGGAGGAGAAGCUGUAGAGCUUGCCGGAGGCGGAGACGACGAGAAGAGCGACGGAUGCGUCACAGAGAACAGAAAGCUGACGAGCUUUCUCGAUGAGACCGUUGCGACGUUUGGAGAAGGUGACUUGUCGGCUACUUUUGUUCUCAAUUCGCUUGAUUUCUAGUUUUUUUCUUCCCAUGGCUUCUCUCCGAGAGGGCUUUGUGCCCUAAUUUGAUCCUCAGGUUUGGGUUCAAGUCGCCGGAGAUAC
rnacentral:antisense_RNA from 1 species